rnacentral:rRNA from 1 species
AUUGAACGCUGGCGGUAGGCCUAACACAUGCAAGUCGAACGGCAGCACAGUGAUAGCUUGCUCUUACGGCGGGCGACUGGCGGACGAUUCAUGGGAACAUCCCAGUCUACUGUUUAUUAGGUCAUAACGUAGGCGCUCUUACCGCAUUAGCGCAGAGGACCUACGUGUGAAAGCAUCGGACCUUCCGAUAUUGCACGAUUCUAUGACGCGAUGUCGGAUUAGCUAGUUGGCGGGGUAAAGGCCCACCAAGGCGACGAUCCGUAGCUGGUCUGAGAGGAUGAUCAGCCACACUGGAACUGAGACACGGUCCAGACUCCUACGGGAGGCAGCAGUGGGGAAUAUUGGACAAAGGGCGCAAGCCUGAUCCAGCCAUACCGCGUGGGUGAAGAAGGCCUUCGGGUUGUAAAGCACUUUAGUUUGGGAAGAAGAGCAGUAAGUUAAUACCUAGCUGUUCUGACGGUACCAAAAGAAUAAGCACCGGCUAACUUCGUG